GACGAACGCUGGCGGCGUGCCUUAAUACAUGCAAGUCGAGCGGAAUGAAGAAGAAGCUUGCUUUCUUCUGAUUUUUAGCGGCGGACGGGUGAGUAACACGUGGGCAACCUACCUUGUAGAUUGGGAUAACUCCGGGAAACCGGGGCUAAUACCGAAUAAUCCAUUUUGCUUCAUGGCGAGAUGUUAAAAGGCGGCUUCGGCUGUCACUACGAGAUGGGCCCGCGGCGCAUUAGCUAGUUGGUAGGGUAAUGGCCUACCAAGGCGACGAUGCGUAGCCGACCUGAGAGGGUGAUCGGCCACACUGGGACUGAGACACGGCCCAGACUCCUACGGGAGGCAGCAGUAGGGAAUCUUCCACAAUGGACGAAAGUCUGAUGGAGCAACGCCGCGUGAGUGAAGAAGGUUUUCGGAUCGUAAAACUCUGUUGUAAGGGAAGAACACGUACGAGAGUAACUGCUCGUACCUUGACGGUACCUUAUUAGAAAGCCACGGCUAACUACGUG
rnacentral:rRNA from 1 species